UCAGGUGAGAUGCUCGAGUUUCAAAACAAAACAGUCUGCGGUUUUGAGAAGCGAUUUUCAGGAUGUAUGUGUGUUUCAGGGGCCAUCUGCACCUUGAAAGCAUACAAUGGAAGGAUGAUGGAAUAUACGAAGCUGUUGAAAUUUCAGGGUGAAGUCGAGCACAUUUCUCUAAUGAAGCCAAAGAUUUGUAUUUUCAGCAUUAUUGUAAUUGUAACUGUAAUUGAUUGAAUGAAUUGGAUUGUAAUUGAUUGUAAUUGUAAUUGAUUGAAUGAAGGAUUGUAAUUGAAUGAA